rnacentral:tRNA from 1 species
AUUAAGGUGGCAGAGCACGGUAAUUGCGAAAGACCUAAACCCUUUCCCCCCAGAGGUUCAACUCCUCUCCUUAAUA